ACGGGUGAGUAAUGUAUCGGAACGUGCCUAGUAGCGGGGGAUAACUACGCGAAAGCGUAGCUAAUACCGCAUACGCCCUACGGGGGAAAGCAGGGGAUCGCAAGACCUUGCACUAUUAGAGCGGCCGAUAUCGGAUUAGCUAGUUGGUGGGGUAAUGGCUCACCAAGGCGACGAUCCGUAGCUGGUUUGAGAGGACGACCAGCCACACUGGGACUGAGACACGGCCCAGACUCCUACGGGAGGCAGCAGUGGGGAAUUUUGGACAAUGGGGGAAACCCUGAUCCAGCCAUCCCGCGUGUGCGAUGAAGGCCUUCGGGUUGUAAAGCACUUUUGGCAGGAAAGAAACGUCAUGGGCUAAUACCCCGUGAAACUGACGGUACCUGCAGAAUAAGCACCGGCUAACUACGUGCCAGCAGCCGCGGUAAUACGUAGGGUGCAAGCGUUAAUCGGCAUUACUGGGCGUAAAGCGUGCGCAGGCGGUUCGGAAAGAAAGAUGUGAAAUCCCAGAGCUUAACUUUGGAACUGCAUUUUUAACUACCGGCUAGAGUGUGUCAGAGGGAGGUGGAAUUCCGCGU
rnacentral:rRNA from 1 species